rnacentral:rRNA from 1 species
UACAGAGGGUGCGAGCGUUGUCCGGAAUCACUGGGCGUAAAGGGCGCGUAGGUGGCGCGACAAGUCAGUGGUGAAAGCUCGACGCUCUAACGCGAGUCGGCCACUGAUACUGUUGGGCUUGAGCACUGUAGAGGCUAAUGGAAUUCCGGGUGUAGCGGUGGAAUGCGUAGAGAUCCGGAAGAACACCGGUGGCGAAGGCGGUUAGCUGGGCAGUUGCUGACACUGAGGCGCGACAGCGUGGGGAGCAAACAGGG